rnacentral:rRNA from 1 species
GAUGAACGCUGGCGGCGUGCCUAAUACAUGCAAGUCGAGCGAACAGACGAGGAGCUUGCUCCUCUGACGUUAGCGGCGGACGGGUGAGUAACACGUGGAUAACCUACCUAUAAGACUGGGAUAACUUCGGGAAACCGGAGCUAAUACCGGAUAAUAUAUUGAACCGCAUGGUUCAAUAGUGAAAGACGGUUUUGCUGUCACUUAUAGAUGGAUCCGCGCCGCAUUAGCUAGUUGGUAAGGUAACGGCUUACCAAGGCAACGAUGCGUAGCCGACCUGAGAGGGUGAUCGGCCACACUGGAACUGAGACACGGUCCAGACUCCUACGGGAGGCAGCAGUCGGGAAUCUUCCGCAAUGGGCGAAAGCCUGACGGAGCAACGCCGCGUGAGUGAUGAAGGUCUUCGGCUCGUAAAACUCUGUUAUUAGGGAAGAACAAAUGUGUAAGUACCUAUGCACGUCUUGACGGUACCUAAUCAGAAAGCUACGGCUAACUACGUG